rnacentral:tRNA from 1 species
GGUUGGAUAGCUCAGUUGGCAGAGCACCGGAAUGGAAAUCUGGAGGUCACAGGUUCAAACCCUGCUCCAGUCA